rnacentral:tRNA from 1 species
AGGGUUUUAGUUUAUUGAGAAUAUAUCGUUUACACCGAUGAGGUUAAUAACCCUU